rnacentral:rRNA from 1 species
GAUGAACGCUGGCGGCGUGCCUAAUACAUGCAAGUCGAGCGAACAGACGAGGAGCUUGCUCCUCUGACGUUAGCGGCGGACGGGUGAGUAACACGUGGAUAACCUACCUAUAAGACUGGGAUAACUUCGGGAAACCGGAGCUAAUACCGGAUAAUAUAUUGAACCGCAUGGUUCAAUAGUGAAAGACGGUUUUGCUGUCACUUAUAGAUGGAUCCGCGCCGCAUUAGCUAGUUGGUAAGGUAACGGCUUACCAAGGCGACGAUGCGUAGCCGACCUGAGAGGGGGCGCGGACAGAAGGACACAGAGACCCGGAGCGGACGCAGACGGGAGGCAGAAGGAGGGAAUCGUACAUGAAGGGAGAAAGCGUGAAGGAGCAACUAAUCGGGAGUGAUGAAGGUCGUCGGAUCGUAAGAAUCUGGGAUUAGGGAAGAACAAAGAUGAAAGUAACUAGGAACGUCUGGAGGGGGCAUAAUAAGAAGGACACGGAGAACUAAGGG